GGUAGCAAAACUGCAUGGAAUACUGAGACCAUUUCUACUUCGAAGAAUGAAAUCUGAUGUCGAGCUAAUGCUCCCUCGGAAGAAAGAAAUCAUAAUAUAUUGGUUAUGAUUGAAGGAAGUUCACUUUGGGAAAUUGAUAGUCUUCGACACCAUUAUUGUCCUCCUGUUUCAAGGUUAGUUUUAUGCCUAGUAUCCCCGUACAAUCAAGUGUGUGAAGUGUUCAA